rnacentral:tRNA from 1 species
GGGGCGUUGGUCCAGUGGCCCAAGAUAGCGGCCUUUCACGCCGUCGACACGGGUUCGAUUCCCGUACGCCCCG